AUGCCACAGAAAAAGAAUGUCCAAAGCCACUUGAUUUGAAAUGUGGAAUAGUUCACUUUGGCUUCUGAAAAAGUGAAAUCAAACUCCUUCCUUAAAAAGCACCCUAUGUGUUACCUGAAACUUCCAAAGACACAUGGAUGCAGAUUCUGCCGUUUGUUGCUGUCGGUGCUGAGCGAGAGCUGAUGAAUGAAAAUCGAUUGUGGUUUCUCCUCCGGGUCUGAGUCACCGUCACCAAAGCCAUGGAGACUUCGGCACACCAGCCCUGACAGUGCCUGGCAGUGCGUGGGAAGGCCGGGCCUCCGGUCCCUCAAAGCCUGAGGAGGUGAGGAAGAAAAGGGCCCCUGGGCCGCUGGACCCCAAUUCCUAGGGUCCCACGGGAGGAGCAGCCGUGUCCCCCUGCCCCCAGCGGCUUCAUCCCUUGGAGACGAAGACAGGACCUCCUGCAGCCCAGAUACCAUCCCCAGCAUCUGUAGCCUGAAAUAGACUAGUUGCUGUCAUCUGGGGUCCCUAUCUAGCUGUGACAAAGUCCAGAGCAUCUGGAUGCCCCUUGGUGCUGCAGUCCUGCCCAUCCAUCCAGGCCUGAACUGCAGUGCAUUUGCCAGGGUCCUCCCUUCUGUCUGUGAUCUCCAAAACCACCUGAGGCUGGGGAGGGGCACAAGAAGAAAAAAUUGAGGGGUGGAAGCAGCAGGUUAUGGCAGAAGUUAGCAUCAGACGAACGAGUGAAGGAAAGGCGUUUUCCCACAGAUUUCACAUCCCCUAGGAUCGCUGCACGGAAAAGCCAUGAAGACUAGUUUCCACCAGAAGGAACAGAAUCAUGAUCAUCAAGAGAUUUUGCAAACCGACUUCAUCGCGCAGGGGUCUCUCAGCAUCAAAGAAUGAAUAUGAUAAAAACAGAAGAGUUGAAGAAAAAGAAAGCUUCCAGUCCCAGCAAAUUCCCACCAACACAUUCCUUCAGAUAUCCAGUGAUGACUCAGACUAUUGUAGGCGGACCACCCAGAGGCAGGAGUGGUGAUGGCAGGACCCAGUUUUAUGGCAACACGGUGGCCGAGUGCUUCAGAAUCCCAAAGGAAGGCUUUGUGGACCAAGUGGCCAGGGGAAAUUGGGAUGCUGUAUACCAAGGACAUUACCAAGUGUGACAUGAUUUUGAAAUCUGCUAAGGGAGGAAUGAAGAGGAUCCGGUAAGAGAGCUGUAAGCACAUCAUUCAGUUCAGGAUGUACUGGAAAUUUAGCAAGCACCGGCAAAUUCCAUGUGAGUAGUUUAAUUCCAAAAUAGUCAUUCUCGAUCAUAUUUAAUUAGGAAAUCAAUUAGUAUUAAGUGCGUCACGGGCUGAGGGCACCUAGGCUGCGUUCUACCUACAUAUGUAUUUUCUUUGGCUAGAGCCAUGCUUUCUCUGUUGUGUUUUAAAUUUGAAUGUUUUCAAAUGAAGCAUGUGACUUGCUUCAGUAUGUUUCAAAUUUGAAAGGCACGCGCAAUAUAAGAAACAUAUUUUACUUUGUUGCACAGACCUCUCUCUCUCUCUCUCUCUCUCUCACACACACACACACACACACGUACAUACGUAAAUACAAAAUAAUUCUUAUCCUGACUACAUCUGGGGAACAUAUUCUGAUAUACUUUAUUCUGUCCUAAUCUACCCUACCCUAUCCUACUCUACUUUAUUAUUUCAUUUAAAAAGCUUGGCUGUGGCCCACUGAAUUCACACUGACGUCUGAAAAACACCAUCUCCUCUCUUAUCCUUCACAAACAUCAGUCUUUUCAUUACCAUCCUUGCCCCCAGAGACAUCUGCAUGUCUGCAUCUCAAAAGAAGGGAGGAAAAUUUGUUCUAAAAUCUGAAUAGAAUAUCCUCAGAAACUGGCCAGGUGACUAGCAUGAGCAUAAAAGUGUCGGAGGGGAUUUUUUGCUCAUCUUAGAUUCAAGAAGGGAGGAUAAAAAUAUGACAUUUCCUAUGUACAAUCAAGCACCGGGAAAGCCAAUGAACCUUGAGCAUCAGAGAGCAUGCUUUUGGCUGCAAGAAUAGAACACCAUCGGAAACUGCCUUGAACAGUAAGAGUAUGUACUAAAACCAAACUGGAUUAGACAAUCAAGAUACUUAUGAUCUCCUGUGUCUACAAGGCCAGAGGUUGGGUGACUUUCUGCGUGAUGACGCAAUGAUGUUACUAAGUAGCCAUUUUGUUUCCAUCUUACCUUUUUACUAUUUUGCAUAUUUGAUUACUCCUAAGGUUUGUUCUCCUGGAAGCCACCUGAUAGCUGCCAGGGAUAAUGGCAUGCUCUCUUGGUCACAGCAGUACCUAAAAAUGUAUCCUCCCGGCAUGCACUGACUGGGCUAAUUUAGAUCAUUGGCUCACCUGGGGACUAACAACAACCUCUAGGGGCUUGCCAUCAAUUGACUGGCUUCAACUAAUUCCAUUCUUCUAGAAUGGAGAAUGAAUUCACUCACCCCUGAGUCACACCAAGUGGUGGCAUCCCAGCUAGCAUUCUGUUAGAAUAGGAGAAGAUGGGAGUGGGGGCUACAUAAUACGGGCUGGAAAGGCAGUAUCCAUGGCUUCUUUCAUUUAUUUAUUUACAGGUUCCCUUUUUUGGAAUCAUUUUGUUUCAUGGCUUCUCUGCUCUUCAAGUCCCUACAGCUAGAGACUUCAACUCUCACGGUAAAGUUCAGCUUUAUCUCGGGAUCUGGGUUCUGUACCAUCCUUCUUGUGUCCCAGAGAGAGGCGAGUUAUAUUCCCAGAUUGCUUAGCACUAUUUCUUUUCCUUUGUUUAUCUAACAAUAUUCCACUCUCACAGCGAUUGAGAUGCACCUUCUUGUGACUCUUAAGUCCUUCCUCUAUUUUAUUCCCGUGUAUUUCAGUAUAUAUGAUGAAAAUCAGCCUAGUUUCUUAUCAUAGUUAGGACUGCAGUCUUGUCUCUUCCAAGUUAAUCCCCUUACGUAGGGGUCUGAAUCUCGCCCUCAUACCUAACUUUGUACAUAAGACCGCAUUUUCUGCCAAAGGACAUCUCCUGGCCUAUUGGAUCUCUGAACAUUUCCUGACCCUUAUUUUCCUGUUGCCAUGGUUAUGGGCACACUGUUGACCUUUGCUGAACUUAUUUGAUAAUAACUGCUUUCCUUUGACUCUUCGUAUUACAUUUUGCUGCAGUUUCUAAAAAAUGCUGUCUGAUCACCUGGAAUUUUUUUUACACUCUGUUUCAGAUUUUUUCCAAACUUUAUUGAUGCUUUACCUAUUUUUUUUAGCUGAAGUGUAGUGGAUUUACAAUGUUGUGUUUACAAUAUUGAUUUACAAGGUUGUGUUAAUUUCUGCUGUACAGCAAAGUGAUUCAUAUAUGUAUGAAUUCUUUUUUAUAUUCUUUUCCCUUAUGAUUUAUCACAGGAUGCUUAAUAUAGUUCCCUGUGCUAUAGAAUAAAACCUUGUUGUUUAUCCA
rnacentral:lncRNA from 1 species